GAUGUUGGUUAAGUCCGCAACGAGCGCAACCCUUGUCAUUAGUUGCUACAUUCAGUUGGGCACUCUAAUGAGACUGCCGGUGGACAAACCGGAGGAAGGUGGGGAUGACGUCAAGUCCUCAUGGCCCUUAUAGGUGGGGCUACACACGUCAUACAAUGGCCGGUACAAAGGGUCGCAAACCCGCGAGGGGGAGCCAAUCCAUCAAAGCCGGUCGUAGUCCGGAUCGCAGUCUGCAACUCGACUGCGUGAAGUCGGAAUCGCUAGUAAUCGUGGAUCAGCAUGUCACGGUGAAUACGUUCCCGGGUCUU
rnacentral:rRNA from 1 species